rnacentral:ribozyme from 15 species
AGUGGUCACAGCCACUAUAAACAGGGCUUUAAGCUGUGAGCGUUGACCGUCACAACGGCGGUCAGGUAGUC